rnacentral:rRNA from 1 species
UACGUAGGGCGCAAGCGUUGUCCGGAAUUAUUGGGCGUAAAGAGCUCGUAGGCGGUCUGUUACGUCCGCUGUGAAAACCCAGGGCUUAACCCUGGGCUUGCAGUGGAUACGGGCAGACUAGAGGUAGGUAGGGGAGAAUGGAAUUCCUGGUGUAGCGGUGAAAUGCGCAGAUAUCAGGAAGAACACCCGUGGCGAAGGCGGUUCUCUGGGACGGUACUGACGCUGAGACGCGAAAGCGUGGGGAGCGAACAGG